AAGAGUGACUGAAAAAAAAUAAAAAAAAUACAGCACUGAUAGCACUUCUAUGAAAAAGACCAUCAAUAAUAGGUGUCUGUCUGAUUUAUACUUUUGUAAUUUUUUUUUUUUCACAGUUGCAUGUCCUUCACGGUGCGAU
rnacentral:ribozyme from 14 species